rnacentral:rRNA from 1 species
UACGGAGGAUGCAGGCGUUAUCCGGAUUUAUUAGGUUUAAAGGGUGCGCAGGCGGCCCGGUAAGUCAGUGGUGAAAGUUUGCAGCUUAACUGUAAAAUUGCCAUUGAUACUGUCGGGCUUGAAUGUGGUAGAGGUAGGCGGAAUGUGUAGUGUAGCGGUGAAAUGCUUAGAGAUUACACAGAACACCGAUUGCGAAGGCAGCUUACUAUGCCAUUAUUGACGCUCAGGCACGAAAGCGUGGGUAGCGAACAGG